rnacentral:rRNA from 1 species
UACGAAGGGGGCUAGUGUUGCUCGGAAUCACUGGGCGUAAAGCGCACGUAGGCGGAUUGUUAAGUCAGGGGUGAAAUCCUGGAGCUCAACUCCAGAACUGCCUUUGAUACUGGCGAUCUUGAGUCCGGGAGAGGUGAGUGGAACUGCGAGUGUAGAGGUGAAAUUCGUAGAUAUUCGCAAGAACACCAGUGGCGAAGGCGGCUCACUGGCCCGGUACUGACGCUGAGGUGCGAAAGCGUGGGGAGCAAACAGG